UACGUAGGGACCAAGCGUUGUCCGGAAUCAUUGGGCGUAAAGAGCGUGUAGGCGGCUUGUUGCGUCCGCUGUGAAAUCCCGGGGCUCAACCCCGGGCCUGCAGUGGAUACGGGCUGGCUAGAGGCAGGCAGGGGAGAACGGAAUUCCUGGUGUAGCGGUGAAAUGCGCAGAUAUCAGGAGGAACACCGGUGGCGAAGGCGGGACUCUGGGCCGAUACUGACGCUGAGGAGCGAAAGCGUGGGGAGCGAACAGG
rnacentral:rRNA from 1 species